GUGGGCUAGACUGGCUGGAGACCAGGUCUCAGGGAUCCAACCAUGUCUGCCUUCCCAG
rnacentral:miRNA from 1 species